rnacentral:lncRNA from 1 species
UCGUUGCUUCCCACUACAGAUAGAAAGUGAUUCAUCCCUUCUGGUAGAUGGUAUUCAGAACAAGAAGAAAGCAUUCCGUUGGUUAUUCAGACCGGUUGCUAAUAGAAAGUUAUUCAUCUCUUUUAGUAGAUGGUAUUCAGAAUCGUCGUCGUAGAUUACAGACAUAGCAGAUAAUUGUUGUGCGAGGCUUAGGCUUUCUCGAUACUAAUAGAUGGUAAUCGUCCUCGUGCUUUAUGGAGAUUACUGACUUAACAGAUAAAUGUCGUGCGAGUCUUUUGGCUAUAGAUAAUCUAUUUUCCAUAUUUUUUGAGAGGCCAACAUAGUAGCUGAUAUUUUUGAAAAGCGAAUACGGUAGCUAAUGCCCCUCAUUAAGAGAACAUCAGUUUUUUCUCCAACAUUUGGCAUAUUCGUCUGCUUUCCCUUCUUCUUUAUUUGGAGCAACUUCCUUAUUAUAGGGUUGUAAGGGGCCUCCUCCCCACUGACCUACCAAAAAAUCAUUCAUUUAGAGCAACUUCCUUAUUAUAGGUUAUAAGGGACUCCUCUCCCACUGACCUACCAAAAAAUCAUUCACCCCAUCAGGUAAAAAUCCAAAUCUCAAACUAUCUUUAGACCCAAAUAUUUUACGCAAUGUUUUAUGAUUUUCUAGAGAUUAGAAACUCAAAACUUUAUUUAUUUUUCUAAAAAUAUUCAUCUCAAAAUGCUGAAGUAGAUUUAAAAGUUUUAGAUUCAAAAAUACUAAUUUGAAAUACUGAAGUAGAUUUUUAGACCGAAAAAUACUAAGUAGGUCUUUUGUGCUACCCUCUCCAUUUGUAAUUUUGUCUUUUUUUUUUUAUAAUCAUUUAUCAAUGGGAAGCCCAACCUAAAUAGUUGAGAUAAAACUUUUGGUAAUGAUGUAGUUUAUUAUUGGGAAAGCUUUACAUGCACCACUAGGUGGAGCAAUUCAUAUGUGUCACUCCUCUUCCAGCCAUCCAACUUGAAUGGAUAGCAAUGCGUAUGUG